CCCUCGGGUCCGAGUUGUAAUUUGUAGAGGAUGCUUUUGGUGCGGUGCCUUCCGAGUUCCCUGGAACGGGACGCCAUAGAGGGUGAGAGCCCCGUCUGGUCGGAUACCAAUCCUCUGUAAAGCUCCUUCGACGAGUCGAGUAGUUUGGGAAUGCUGCUCAAAAUGGGAGGUAUAUGUCUUCUAAAGCUAAAUAUUGGCCAGAGACCGAUAGCGCACAAGUAGAGUGAUCGAAAGAUGAAAAGCACUUUGAAAAGAGGGUUAAACAGUACGUGAAAUUGUUGAAAGGGAAGCGCUUGUGACCAGACUUGGGCCCGGUUAAUCAUCCAGUGUUCUCACUGGUGCACUUGGCCGGCCCAGGCCAGCAUCAGUUCGGCGUGGGGGAUAAAGACUUCGGGAAUGUGGCUCCUCCGGGAGUGUUAUAGCCCGUUGUGUAAUACCCUGUACUGGACUGAGGUUCGCGCAUUCGCAAGGAU
rnacentral:rRNA from 1 species